GGUGGAUUAGUGGCGAACGGGUGAGUAACACGUGGGCAAUCUGCCCUUCACUCUGGGACAAGCCCUGGAAACGGGGUCUAAUACCGGAUAACACUCCUGCCUGCAUGGGCGGGGGUUAAAAGCUCCGGCGGUGAAGGAUGAGCCCGCGGCCUAUCAGCUUGUUGGUGGGGUAAUGGCCCACCAAGGCGACGACGGGUAGCCGGCCUGAGAGGGCGACCGGCCACACUGGGACUGAGACACGGCCCAGACUCCUACGGGAGGCAGCAGUGGGGAAUAUUGCACAAUGGGCGAAAGCCUGAUGCAGCGACGCCGCGUGAGGGAUGACGGCCUUCGGG
rnacentral:rRNA from 1 species